GACGAACGCUGGCGGCGUACCUAAUACAUGCAAGUAGAACGCAGUUGCGAACGGGUGAGUAACGCGUAGGUCACUGCCUGGUAGCGGGGGAUAACUAUUGGAAACGAUAGCUAAUACCGCAUACUACCAGAUGGACCUGCUUUGUAUUAGGUAGUUGGUUGGGUCACGGCUCACCAAGGCAACGAUACAUAGCCGACCUGAGAGGGUGAUCGGCCACACUGGGACUUAGAACAGGCCCAGACUCCUACGGGAGGCAGCAGUAGGGAAUCUUCGGCAAUGGGGGGAAACCUGACCGAGCAACGGCGCGUGAGUGAAGAAGGGUUUCGGAUCGGAAAGCUCUGUUGUUAAGGAAGCGGUACUUAACCAGAAAGGGACGGCUAACUACGUGCCAGCAGCCGCGGUAAUUC
rnacentral:rRNA from 1 species